CCUUCUCUUUCAACCUGCGCUUACGCAUUUCCUAUGCAAGUACUUGAGUGAUGUACAAAAUUAUAGGGUUCUGGAACGAUGAAAUAUUUAGCGCGGAAUAAUGAUCUAACUGUCCGGAGAGGGAGGGUUUAAAAAAGAAAAGAAAAAAAGAAAAAGCAAGCAAGAAAUGAGGGGGGGGGGAGAUCUCACACAGGUCCCUGGAGUGAGCCUCAGAAAUGAAUUAAUCUUUCAUUUGCAUGCAGAUCUAAAAGCUCUCUUUUUCUUUCUGUUCAGUUUCCACAAGCUACAUAGUGCUCUAACAAAGUGACCAUGUCUUACAAGGCAAACGUCGUUUCUACCUUAAAUGCACUACGGGCCCACUUUACCGAUGGUGGUUCUGAAUUUCUUGCCCGGUUUCCUAUGUAAGAUCCCUCUCAGCUGUUCCUCCAACCAACUCCAAAGCAAGUUUCACUGUAUUCUAUUUCUUUCAUCACUUGCAUUAGGGCUUGGGGCGGGGAGAGAACCCCAUUUACUAUGUGUGAGCAGAUGAAAUGUAUCGUCUGCCAGCCUUCUGAUCAAAUUAUGAGCCGUCCUCUUCCUUUGACUGCAACUUAACUUUUAAGAGGUUGGUGGAUUUAACCGCACUAGUAACCUUCAUCUCCUUCCACAACCGUGUUAAGUGGAAAUGCGGGGAUUUCUGCGCUCACACAAAAAGCUCCCCUUGUCACCCAGAAGCUCUCUAGGCUCAGAGUUUUCAUAAGCUCAGAGUUCUUCUGAAAGCAACUUUCUUUCUUUCUUCCCACUGAACUCAGUGGCAGAAUACCCAAAGAUAUAUUACUUCGAAGCUACCUUUAUACAUUUUCCUUCCCGGAACAUAGCCUUUAAUGGAACCAAAUCACACCGCUUGAUAGGACUAGAACCUGAAGAGCUUAGGCCACAAGCAACCUUAAAAAAGAAAGUGAGGGGAGUAUUCGAGGGAAACUUGUAGAAUAGUCAUAGACACGUCCAUCACUAAUAGUUCCACUGGCAAAUGCUAAACUUUAAACAGGGAGCACCCUUAUCCAAGAGAUGGAUUCCUAGGCAUUUAAACUAAAGUGCCUUCAGCGCAGUCAAAAGAGGCCCUCAGAAGUUCUUCAGCAACAAUGCAGCCAAAAUUAAUGGAUAAUGGAGCAGAUGGGGGAGGGAGCCACAGCGAAUCUUCCUGAAUCUCGAGUAAAACGUUAUCGACUGCUUUGAGUCAGAAGCAGAAAGAUGACUUUACCGAAUAGAAACUACAAAGCCAUAAAUCAUAACUCUGGGGUGCAGAUUCAACUUACACGCCUUAACGCCAUCUAUGAGUACAUCCUUUCCCCCUUUCCUUUCCUUAUUUUUAAAAAAGGAAAGGGCCCUUUGCUGUGUAAGUCUGUAUUAGUUUUAACGAUCAAGUUAAUGUGAAAUCUGCCGUUGAACUAUUAACUCCGGUGCGUAUUGCAUGGAUAGUGAAUAUGUGGGGGUUUUUUUCUCCUAAAGAAAAGUAACUUCUUGGUGAUUUAUGAGGAGCUAAUUCUUCAGGCUGUGCUUUAUAGGAGACAAGCUUGCUUCACUGGAGUCCUGGUAACUCUGCUUAUUAUUUCUCCUUUUCAAAACAAAAACCCACCAAAAAGCUGACCUGGAAUUCUUUUACUUGGGUCGAACUUCAGAGAUCUUGAAUUUUGAGAAAUACAAAUGGGAAUGGACAGGAAGGCAGCAGCCUCGCCACCCAUUUCGCCUUCCUCGCGGAGGUUCUGCGUUGCCUUCAUCUGUUACUUCGAGGACUGGGAAAUCUGAACGCUUUUGGGAGAGCUAAAAACGCUACAUUUCAUUUUAGGGAACAGGGCUAGGCUGCCCCGCCUCUUUCUGCACACAUAGCAGUGGAAUGCAUGCGGAAGAAAGAAGGCGCGGAGCAGAGCUGAGGUCGAGAUCCAAGACACAAUUACUUGGAGGGAGAGAGGGAGAGCGCUGAAAUCAAUGGACGUCGUUUUUCAAAUGAUUGGUUAGCAUCCAAGUGCAACUAAGCUGUAAAGUCUCCACGAAUCUGAAAGCUGCAAGGCUUAAGCAUAUUUACUCAGAGGGCUCUUACCUCCUCGCGUUUCCAACCACCGGGCAGAAUUGUUUCCAGAUUGUAGGUGUCUUUAAACCGUAUUUUCCGGUGCACCGGAGUGCUGUAAAUAAAGAACAAGCAAUAGCUAAAAAGGAGAACUAUAGGGGAUGAGCAUUAUUUUCGAGACAAGACGUGGGUCAGCUGCUGAGUUGUUUUAGCAGAUCCUCGGUGGGUAUAUAAUCAUUAAAAGGACGCUGUUGA